rnacentral:rRNA from 1 species
AUGAACGCUGGCGGUAUGCUUAACACAUGCAAGUCGAACGGACUCUUCGGAGUUAGUGGCGGACGGGUGAGUCACGCGUGAGAAUCUGGCUUUGGGUUCGGGACAACCACUGGAAACGGUGGCUAAUACCGGAUGUGCCGAGAGGUAAAAGAGAAAUUGCCUGAAGAUGAGCUCGCGUCUGAUUAGCUAGUUGGUGAGGUAAAGGCUCACCAAGGCAGCGAUCAGUAGCUGGUCUGAGAGGAUGACCAGCCACACUGGGACUGAGACACGGCCCAGACUCCUACGGGAGGCAGCAGUGGGGAAUUUUCCGCAAUGGGCGAAAGCCUGACGGAGCAAUACCGCGUGAGGGAAGAAGGCUCUUGGGUUGUAAACCUCUUUUCUUAGGGAAGAACAAAAUGACGGUACCUAAGGAAUCAGCAUCGGCUAACUCCGUG